AAUGAACGUUGGCGGCGUGGAUUAGGCAUGCAAGUCGAGCGAGAAGUCCUUCGGGACGGACAGCGGCGAAAGGGAGAGGAAUACGUAGAAAUCUACCCCUGGGACCGGGAUAGCGUCGGGAAACUGGCAGUAAUACCGGAUAACGUCUUAGGACCAAAGGUGUGAUUCCACCUGGGGAUGAGUCUACGCCCUAUUAGCUAGUUGGUGGGGUAAUGGCCUACCAAGGCGAUGAUGGGUAGCGGGUGUGAGAGCAUGAUCCGCCUCACUGGGACUGAGAACUGCCCAGACACCUACGGGUGGCUGCAGUCGAGAAUCUUUGUCAAUGGACGAAAGUCUGAACAAGCGACGCCGCGUGCGGGAUGAAGGCCUUCGGGUUGUAAACCGCUGUCGUAGGGGAACAAAUGUACGGGGGUUCUCCCCUGUAUUUGAGUGAUCCUAGGAGGAAGGAGAGGCUAAGCUCGUGCCAGCCGCCGCGGUAA
rnacentral:rRNA from 1 species